rnacentral:tRNA from 1 species
UAAGACUUGUGAGGAAUUAACCCACAUCUCCUGAAUGCAACCCAAACGCUUUCAUUAAGCUAAAGCCUUU